UGUAAAUUCAGUGCUAAGUUCCUCCCAAGAAAAGGAGAGGUAAGUGAUAGGAGUCUGUACACUUACCUUUCUACCUUGCUGUUAUUUGCUGCUGAUAGAACCUAUCCUUUGGCUUGGCAAAAACUUCUUAAUUUGUCUGGUCUUUCUGCAGGGUUGACUGGUAUAAAAAAAAAAAUGCUCACCUCGACCUUCUUUAUUGCUACAUCGAGGAAGCUCACUACAGAAAAGAGUACAGGUGUACUCUUUCCUACUGCUCGAGAUUUACUUGUGUCCCUGGUGUGUUGUGAUAAGCCUCUGAAUGUCACUGCUCUGAAGGUUUUGUUCUUCCCAAAGACUCUCCUGAGGUUCAGUGAAGGCAAGCAGGGUUUGCUUGGGCUUAAAGGUGUGUCCAGAGCUACAGUGUCAGCACAAGUUCCAAAAAACUCAUGGUAAAGUGUCUGCUUUCACCUCUCAGAUUCAAGCUGAUUAAAGGAUUUGAGGAAAAGUGCUGGGGGCAAUGAAGAACAAUGAAGAUCGUUUAGAUGAGCUGCAGCACUACUGGUCUUCUGAUGAACUUUUCAAUAUUUGGGAUGAGUGGCAAAUUUUUCAGCAAAUCCAAGGGAACCAGAAGAGGGGUGGUCAGCUUAGCAAGAGAAACCAAGGCACCAGGAGAAUGGAGAUCAAGCACAUCCAUGAAAAGGGUGUCUGGCUGGGAUCGCAUCUGUGAAGCAGCACAGUCACCAAGGAGCAGAUUUCCAGUCAACCAGGAGUGGUACAAGCUUGGCCAGGGACUCCAGGCAGUGGCUGGUUGGUUCUGCAAGGCCUAGGGGGAGGAGCACUGUGGCUUCCUGGGAGUAUCACAAGCAUGUAGUUGCCAGCAACCCCCAGGUGCACUCAGGUAAGCCCAUCAGAUUGCUUUCAACUCUCAUCCUUUGUACCAGCGUGAAAAUAAUCACUGUGUCAGAUGAACUUCUGCUUUUUAUUAAAAAAAACCCAAACAAAACAAACCAAACUUAUAAGGUAAUUGAUUGCUUUCUUCUAGUCUUUUAUUAGUUAUGAUUAAGGAGCUAUAGUAGCCCUGUUUACACAGCUCUAACAAGUGAGGACCUGCAGAACGUUAUUGGCUUGGGGCCCACAACUUGCUGUCCAUUCUCCACAGAAUCAAUCUGGAGCUGAAAACAUCCCCGUAGGAAGCGUACACAUCCCUGCUUACACAGGAACAGAAACAGCAAUAACUUCAGGUCCUGUAAGCUGCAAGUUCAACUCACAGAGAUCAGCCCUGACUUGUCAUCGCUCUCAGCAUGCUGGUGAUGAGAUCAGAGCUCUUCACCAAGGACUCAUACUUCCAGCUUGACAGGGGACAGAGGUGAGAGUGUUACACCUCACCGGUACUGCAGGGAGGAACCGAGAGCUCCUCUGUUUAACAUGCAGUCACAGCACUGCCAAUCUAAAAUGGCUGAUCAGUAACACUUUAAUUGCAGUUUCAUAGAAACAAAUUGCUAUUUAAUUGCAAUAAGCUUGUCUGUGGCUUAGCUGGACUGACAAUAGGCAUACACCAGGUAGUAACAGUAACAAGCAGCAACAAGGGUGUGUGGUACUGCAUGUACAGGAGUCUCAGGCAGUGCCAUCAAACCCAGAACACAAUUUCACACUGAUUAAAUGUAAUACUUAAAAAAAAAAGUAUAUACAUAAAUUUCCUAAUCUCGAUUUGAUUUUUUAUUUUAAUAGAGCUGUUCAGAAUAGAUACUUGCAAAAUGCUGCACGCUUCACAUACAACUACCAGCAAAAUACUUUAAUAAAUAUUUAAAUUGAAAUGAUCUUUUGGAAUCACAGAAUCAGGUUGGAAAAGACCUCUGAGAUCACAGAGUCAGACUGAACACCUCUGUGUCAACUAGACUGUGGCACUCAGCGUCAUGUCCAGUCCUCCCUUAAACACUUCCAGGAGCAGUGACUCCACUGCCUUGAUAGCAAGGCAUACUCUGCCAGUGUGUGACUUUUGGGGGUUUUUUAGCAUUUACCCUAAUGUUAGGUGAUGCAAAUUUUAUCAGUGUUAACUAACAGGGAAAAAGGGAGACAAACUCAGUGUGGUUAAUAUUCUGAAGAUGUAACUUAAUUUCAUAGGCUUCAUUUUGUUAAGACAUUCUCAUUUUGUAUUUCAUAAGAUACUGCCUAACCUGUUAAAAUAUUUAAAGAUAAAUCAUGUAGGACUGAAAAGACAGUAUCUUGUUGCAAACAGAAUUUGGUUUGGAAAAGCUUAAUGUCCCACUGCCUGCCAGGAUGCGUAAAUCUCAUAGCUAGACAGCUGGAUAGGUAAAAACAUUAAACCCAUUUAGAGGGCAAUCUUUUUACAAAAUUGUUUCAUUAAUAAGAGUGACAAUUUAUAUGAUUGAGAUGUUUAGAUGCAGUAUAGACAGAGCAUUUUAUCCAGGUUCAUGAGGAUGAUUUCAGAUUAGUAAUAUUUCCUUUGAUUCUUUUUUUUAACAGCAUUCAUUUUUGAAAGUAUGGGAAGCUCUUACUGAAUGAUUAUUUGACUUUUCAGCAGCACUAAAUGCAGAGGGUGUAUUUCAGUCUCAGUGCAGCAGAUACAUGUGUUUUUCUUUACAGAUCUCCUUAAAAAGAAGUGAUUUUUCAUAUAAGGACAAAUCUAAGUGUUUCCAAUAGCCUUCUACCCACACCUACUGUCCCCAUUACAGCCUGUUUCAUUGUGUGAAAUGCCUCUGGUUUCAAGAAAGUGUUUUACCUAAAGCAAGAAUACUACUUAAAUAUGUUCUAUUGUAUAUUCAUAGCUCCAUUAGUCCUCCUGCAAUUUAGCACAUCAAAGCAAAGGCUUCAUCACUUGCAUGUGGAUUAUGCUAACAUGAGUGACAUUUGUAAUCUUAUAGGUCUCCAACUUAAGAAAUGCUUUUAAAGUAAGCUAUUAAAUAGGUAGCUGUGCUUUACAAAUGAGUCAUAUAAUAGUUUAUUUAAAGCUGUUAAUGAACUUCAACCUCUACAUCACUAAAUGCUAUACUACAUUACUUACUAGAAGUUAUUAGCUAUCUUCUUAGCACUUCUAGGUUAUAUUGGACAACCAAAAAUCUGUACAUGUUAGAUUUAAACACUGUACCUUGAGUGCUUAUACUGGAAUAAUAUAAAAAGAUGUCUACAGUCUCACUAAUACUUGAAUUCUAUAUUCAUAUGACUUCAAGUGUCUUUUCAAAGAUACUAAGCAGCACAAUUUGCAGGACUCUGAAGACUUUAAUGCCAGAUCAAAAAGCUUAGAAACUUAUUUAAAAUACCCACAAGUGCAUUUAAUUAAAAGUCAUACAUAGUGUCAGUCAUUUAUGUUGUGCUUUAUAUGCAAGUAGUCUUUUGUAAUUUAUUGUCUGAUACUCUACAUUGCUACAUUUUCUUUUCUCUGAAAUAGUGUUUCUUCCUCAUGCACUGAAGUUAAAAAGAAGAAAUGCAGCAGCCCUCCAAUAUACUAGAAGUCAUGAAGUAGAAUCUGAAACAAAAAUAUCUGCUGUUGGUUGUUUAGAUAGAUAAAUCUGUAAAUCAGCUUUUUGUGUAUUGGCAUCACAACAAAAAUAAGCCAAGCUUACUCUAUAACCACACAGCUGAGCACUGAACACCUUCUAAAAAACAGAAUUAAACAAAAUAAUGAUGUUAUGAGUAUUUGUUUUCUAUAAAAGAAAACAUAGUAGAAAAAGAAAACAUAUAAAUGCAGAGUAUUACUUAAUAUUGAUUUGCUUUAAACUGCAGCAGAGUUGCUGCUUGCAGGUUCCUGACUGAAGGCAUACAGUGGACAGCCACAGAUCCACGUUAGUAUUCUUGCUAAAAACAUAGAAAGUCAGAUUUUUUUUUUCUGAAAAGUAUUCUGCACAGUUCUACCACAAGACAGCUGAUGGGAAGGGCAUGCAAAAUUAAGUUGUUCCCUUUCUAAGCUUAGCGGUGGCUCUGCUGCUUUCGGGGGAGGUGGUUUUUGUUUGUUUGCUUUCAGAGAACAGAUCGUAUUUUGAGAUCAGCUAGUUCUCAGAAACAGCCCAGGAAACAGGUUUUUCUUUCCUUAAGAUGAUCAGUGUUGCAAAGUUAAAGUCUCUCACCCCAGCAAACUUGAUGUUGUUCAGAUCAGAAUAACUAUUGUAUUCUUUUUCAUGAAUACUCAAUUCUAGUGCUCUGCAUGAGGUACAGACCUUUCGUUGGCUUUUGUUUUUUUGACCUCUUAUGCUACAUUCAUACCCUCUUAUGCUUGCAUGCUCAAGAGACACAGGCACAUUCUUAACACAGAAGGAACUGGAAAGAAAGAGACCACAGUACCUCUGUGUGUGCUGUAAUUCACUGCAAUGGGAAUUAUAAUGUACUUGCUGUAACCAGAAUUAAGAAUCUCCAUGAAAUAAAAAAUACAGUUUUGAAGUAGUACUCAUUAUCCUUGCCACAAGUAACAUGGUCAAGUAGUUUAGCAGAGUCUUUCCUGGCAUAAGACAAAAGAAAAAAUCCAAACCAAAAUCCUACUUUUAAAGGUAAUUGACAAUUAAGGUAACGGCUAUGUAAGAUGAAGGUGCAGA
rnacentral:lncRNA from 12 species